AACGAACGCUGGCGGCAGGCUUAACACAUGCAAGUCGAGCGAGGACUUCGGUCUUAGCGGCGGACGGGUGAGUAACGCGUGGGAACGUGCCCUCUUCUUCGGAAUAGCCCUGGGAAACCGGGAGUAAUGCCGGAUACGCCGGGCCAUAGGGAUAUGGUUUCGGGAAAGAUUUAUCGGAGGAGGAUCGGCCCGCGUUGGAUUAGGUAGUUGGUGGGGUAACGGCCUACCAAGCCGACGAUCCAUAGCUGGUUUGAGAGGAUGAUCAGCCACACUGGGACUGAGACACGGCCCAGACUCCUACGGGAGGCUG
rnacentral:rRNA from 1 species